GCAAAUUGAGAUAUAUUUCGAGGGGGAAAAGUUAUGGCGAUUAUGAGAAAUUGAACCAUAAGCGUAUAGCUUUUCCCCUUUGGCGUAUAUCAACCUCGAC
rnacentral:miRNA from 12 species